rnacentral:lncRNA from 1 species
AGUACCGGGUCUCAGCUUCGUGAAGCACUUUGCUGACGUAAUAUAUCGGUUGGUGGAUUCGGUUCUCGUUCUCUCGGACGAGCACCGAGCUAACUGCCUCCGGGGAGGUAGCCAAGUAGAGAUACAAUACCUCCCCGACCUCCAGCCUCACAAGUAGGGGCAGAGUAGUCAGGUAUUUCUUCAGUUCCUCGAAGGCUUAUCGGCACUCAUCCGGCCA